AAGCUGCAGCUGUGAUGUAGCAGGGUGUCAGAAUUGUGCUUGCACACUCUCUCAUCAGAUUCUCCAGGAAUACCACAAACAGGUUCUGCAUAGGCCUGAGAGGCUGACCUGAGGUCUGUAUGCUAGUAAUGCAAUCGGCUGAAGAGAAUCAAUAUCAACAGGUGGAUCAUGAACAUGUGGGAGUGCAUACAGCACCUCUGACAAGUCGAAACACCUUCAGAAUAGAAGUCUGAAAAAAUGUCUUCAGUUUUUACACAUCACAUAUGGGGAGAUAUUUAAUACAAUCAAAGGAAUCAAAGAGAAAGUGCUCCUUGAGCUGGUGAGGAGUCUCUACUGGUGAAGAAAGGUUUGCUAGUGAUAGUUAAUUCUGCUUUCUGCCUUCAGUGUAAGAACGUUCUUAAUAGUGCUGAGCUAAUAUAUUUUCAUAACUUGGCAUUUAAUUCACUGCAUACCAAGUGUAUCUUUGAUUUUUUAUCAACACUGCUAUAUAUUUU
rnacentral:lncRNA from 1 species